UGGGCAACCUGCCCCUGGCUCUGGGAUAACUCCGGGAAACCGGAGCUAAUACCGGAUACGAGACCGAUUGGCAUCUAUACGGUCUGGAAAGUUUUUCGGCCAGGGAUGGGCUCGCGGCCUAUCAGCUUGUUGGUGGGGUAAUGGCCCACCAAGGCGACGACGGGUAGCCGGCCUGAGAGGGCGAUCGGCCACACUGGGACUGGGACACGGCCCAGACUCCUACGGAAGGCA
rnacentral:rRNA from 1 species